rnacentral:lncRNA from 1 species
UGGGACUUCACAAUCCACGCUCUCCCUGAGGACACCUCUCAUGAACGCGGAUCAGCAGUCACGUGACACUCCUGCAGGGCACAAGAAGCCAGCACAUGAUCUGCCCACUUGGCACUGCUUACAGCAUGCCCAGAAACCACUCUGCUCACCAAGAGGAAAACCCCGGGGGAAUCCAGGUGUCAGGAGGUGAAUGCACUGACAGCCUGUCUCCCUCCAUCCUCAUGCUCGGUCACUGCCUAGUCACCCAAGGCUGUCUCGUUUGGAAGGGACACAUAUGGAUGUCCUGAAUGCAAGGAAAACCUCCCAACUUUUCCUUUGCCUGCAUUACCAACAACCAGGGCACAGGCAGGCUGUAAUCACUUCACACAGGGGCAGAAAAGGACUCAGCACUGCUGAAAUUGGAGACUAGUGUCAGAAAACCACAGGUGUGGCUCCACAACCAACCCACGCAUUCCCCGAAGCAGGACCCACUCUCACUACCCCUUCUGAAAGCCUCACAGAAACCAGGAGCCAAGGCAGAGAGCACUCAAUGAGAUCCCAGGGGACAGGGGUCAUCCAAAAGGUGGCAGGGGGAGGAGGUGUGGGAAAGCUCCAGGGUUUGGAAGGGACAGGAUGGGCCCUCCAAACACAGAGAAAGGCUUUCAGCACUUCCUCUCCCUGCACAAUCAAUGACCAGGGCACAGGCAGCCCACAUCACUUUCGAAUGCAGGGGCACAAGCGGGCAGAAGGCGAGCCAGGAAGAGAAGCCCACGUUAGCCCACUGUCCCCCUAGGCAAGCUCAGAACCCCGAGCGCUAUCAGAGCUUCAUAGAAAGAUGCCAGCUCCCAGCAUCAACACAGUCCACAGGAGGAACAGCUUCUGGUAAACAUGCCUCAGUUCUUUAUUCACCCCACAAAUACUGACUGAGCACCUACUGGGCGCCAAGCACUGUGGCUUCAAAAACAAAGAAAAACACAGACAAGGCCUCUGUCCUCCCAGAGCUCCUGCGGUUUCCCUACCUGAAGGAAAGGAAAGCUCAGGAGCAUGAAGUAACUCGCCCCAGGAUACCCGGGUAACGAGGAGCGGAGUCCGGAUCUGGGCUCAGGCCUUUCUGACCCCAAACUCAGCCCCCCUACUACACCAGGCCUCCUCCUGCACAAGGGCUUCGAACACAGUUCUCAGAAGUCACCUGAGCCCCAGGACCACCCCCUCUGCGGGCAGCAGGAAGCCACCGAGCCCCCUUCAAGGUGCUCAGGAGCCGCAGCUCUCACCAGGGCACAGCCUCAGCCGCUGGACACGGAGGGCGCGUCGGGCAGCGCGGGUCAGGGCCCCGCAGGAGAGCAGGGGGCGCCGGCGGACGCAGAGCCCGCUCAGCCGUCCGAGGCCGAGCUCGCGGAGAGAUGGGACCUCGGCCUCGGACGGCUGAGCGGGCUCUGCGUCCGCCGGCGCCCCCUGCUCUCCUGCGGGGCUCUGACCCGCGCUGCCCGACGCGCCCUCCGUGUCCAGCGACUGAGGCUGUGCCCUGGCUCAGCGCCUGGUGGGGGUCCAGUGUUCACCAGUUGUGAACAAAUGCACAAGAGAGAAGAAAAGGAGAGACACAUCCUUGUAAGGUGGCAUGGCCUCAUCACGUUGUGGAAGAUCAGAGAAAGACUACGUGGGAGCCAACCAGAGGGAGAGGGGGCAGCUCGGUGCAGAGGGGCCCUUGAGAGGUGUCUCCAUCCUGUCAGGAAGCAGCUGGACCACAGUGCUCCCAAGGUGAGGUCUGUUCUCUGGAAAUCUGGGGCUUUGCAUCCCACAGGCGCAUGCAGGUUCCCUGGGUGUGAUGUCGUCGGGGAAGUAGAUAGAGGAGACAGGAGGGUGGCUCUGUCCUGGCCCUCAAUUUUACUCUCUGUGACCUUUGAGAAUGCACCUGCUUCCUCUUUAUGUGCUUGGUUCUGAGAGCCCUUGGGGAGCCCUUCCUCAAAUUGAUCUGUUGGCAUCAGAAUGGCUGAAUCUAAAGCAGGAAGGAUUUUGGCAUAUUCGCCUGUGCCCGGGUCUCAGUCACUUCUCUGCCCCUUCUUAGCUCUGGGACCUUCUCUUAUCCCUGGUCUCAUCACCCAGAAAGCAGGAAUACAAUGAGGCCAUUUUUCUUAGGAUCGCAUAGCCCCUGUCUUUUACAACCCAACAACUCUAUCGCUUUUCUUUCAGAGGUGUCCACCCUUUCCUCUCCUGUCUGGGCCAAGUUGAAGGAAUUUUUCUGCAGGAUUGAAGCAAUUACGUGGUGCUGUGCUCAACUAGGCUGACUCCUCCAGGCCUCUGCCACUGGCCUCCUUUUUCAGCAAGCCCUCUGUCCUUUUCUGCCUCUGCAUUUGGAAGUGAUCACAGCUGCCCGUGUCCUGUUCAUUGGUAGUGCAGACAGAGGAAACGUGGAGAGGAUUGUCACAUGUUUGGAGGGUCCACAUCCUCCCCUUCCAGAUCUGGGAGCUUUUCCACAUUCCUACUUCUCUUCUACACACACCUUGGGCCUCCAGGGCCUUGAGGGCUGUCAUGUGUGUGUCGGUGUCAUUGCUGGGGCUU